rnacentral:rRNA from 1 species
UGGGGAAUCUUCCGCAAUGGACGAAAGUCUGACGGAGCAACGCCGCGUGAGUGAAGACGGCCUUCGGGUUGUAAAGCUCUGUGAUUCGGGACGAAAGGCCAUAUGUGAAUAAUAUAUGGAAAUGACGGUACCGAAAAAGCAAGCCACGGCUAACUACGUGCCAGCAGCCGCGGUAAUACGUAGGUGGCAAGCGUUGUCCGGAAUUAUUGGGCGUAAAGCGCGCGCAGGCGGUCACUUAAGUCCAUCUUAGAAGUGCGGGGCUUAACCCCGUGAUGGGAUGGAAACUGGGAGACUGGAGUAUCGGAGAGGAAAGUGGAAUUCCUAGUGUAGCGGUGAAAUGCGUAGAUAUUAGGAAGAACACCGGUGGCGAAUGCGACUUUCUGGACGAAAACUGACGCUGAGGCGCGAAAGCGUGGGGAGCAAACAGG